CUCAGAACGAACGCUGGCGGCGUGCUUAACACAUGCAAGUCGAACGCGAAAGGGACUUCGGUCCUGAGUAAAGUGGCGCACGGGUGAGUAACGCGUAGAUAACCUGUCUUCAUGUCUGGAAUAAUACGCCGAAAGGGGUACUAAUACCGGAUAUUCUUGCUUUUCAUAAGUUAUGCAAGCAAAGGUGGCCUCUGCAUAUGCUACCGCAUGAAGAGGGGUCUGCGUACCAUUAGCUAGUAGGUGGGGUAAUGGCCUACCUAGGCGACGAUGGUUAGCGGGUCUGAGAGGAUGAUCCGCCACACUGGCACUGGAACACGGGCCAGACUCCUACGGGAGGCAGCAGUGAGGAAUAUUGCGCAAUGGGGGAAACCCUGACGCAGCGACGCCGCGUGAGUGAAGGAAGGCCUUCGGGUCGUAAAGCUCUGUCAAGGGGAAAGAAGUGUACAAUGGCUAAUACCUGUUGUAUUUGACGGUACCUCUAAAGGAAGCACCGGCUAACUCCGUGCCAGCAGCAGC
rnacentral:rRNA from 1 species